rnacentral:rRNA from 1 species
GAGUUUGAUCGUGGCUCAAAUUGAACGCUGGCGGCAUGCCUUACACAUGCAAGUCGAACGGCAGCAUGAUCUAGCUUGCUAGAUUGAUGGCGAGUGGCGAACGGGUGAGUAAUACAUCGGAACGUGCCCUGUAGUGGGGGAUAACUAGUCGAAAGAUUAGCUAAUACCGCAUACGACCUGAGGGUGAAAGUGGGGGACCGCAAGGCCUCAUGCUAUAGGAGCGGCCGAUGUCUGAUUAGCUAGUUGGUGGGGUAAAGGCCCACCAAGGCGACGAUCAGUAGCUGGUCUGAGAGGACGAUCAGCCACACUGGGACUGAGACACGGCCCAGACUCCUACGGGAGGCAGCAGUGGGGAAUUUUGGACAAUGGGCGAAAGCCUGAUCCAGCAAUG